GAUUCCAGAGUGUAGCAGUUAGCACGGCUGCUUUACAUGCAGAAGGUCCUGGGUUCGUGCUCCAGUGGACCCA
rfam:Pteropus alecto contig49237, whole genome shotgun sequence.